rnacentral:SRP_RNA from 12 species
GCGCCGGCGAGGUCAGGCUCCAUGAACGACAUCUCGUCCCACGGUGCGAGCAGGGGGGCGCCACCCUCGCCGAAGAGAGCCUCGAACGUGCGUAGA